rnacentral:lncRNA from 10 species
GCAGCCUCUCCGUGGCCCAUGCUGAAGUACAGUGGCGCCGUUACUACUCACAGCAGCCUCUACCUCCCGGGCUCAAGUGGUUCUCUCAGCACAGCCUCCUGAGUAGCUGGGACCACAGGUAUGCAGCGUGACACCUGGCUAAUUUUUGAAUUAUUUUGUAGAGACAGGAGUCUCACUGUGUUGUCCAGGCUGGUCUCAAACUCCUAAGCUCAAUCAGUCCUCCCACCUCGCCCUCCCAAGAUGCUGGGAUUACAGGCGGGAGUCGCCACGCCUGGCCUAACUUGCUUUUUUUUCUGUUAUGAAUGUAGUAACACAAGCGGGAGAGGGAAUUUAGAAAUGGAACCCAAGUUGGGGUUCCUUCCAAGAAGGUGGCAGCUCCCAUUCUUGGGGCAUUUCCGUGGCCUGUCUGGGCCACAGCUGCCCCGUGGUGACCUCUCCACUUGCGGCUGUUUGUCCACUGCCUGGCAGGGGUGGGACCUGGCUGCACGGAUGAGACGCUGCUGUCGGCCAUCGCCAGCGCCCUGCACACUAGCACCAUGCCCAUCACGGGACAGCUCUCGGCCGCCGUGGAGAAGAACCCCGGCGUAUGGCUCAACACCACGCAGCCCCUGUGCAAAGCCUUCAUGGUGACCGACGAGGACAUCAGGAAGCAGGAAGAGCUGGUGCAGCAGGUGCGGAAGCGGCUGGAGGAGGCGCUGAUGGCCGACAUGCUGGCGCACGUGGAGGAGCUGGCCCGUGAC